rnacentral:lncRNA from 1 species
GUUCCGCUUCUCCACGCGCGACGCCUUUCUUGCCCAUGCACGUCUCCGCCUCCGUCUUUUUUUCGCGCUCAUCCAGCAACGAAACACGAGUCCUCCUUGCUUUCUGGAUCCCCAGUUAGCCGUCCGUCGCUGUCGUUUCGGAUCUCGUUGCGCGUGUUCUGCUCUGCCGCUAUUCUGCCUCGCGCUCGUCGGGGGAGUCGGGAACCAGCGAGUUUUCACCAGGUGUCGCCUCGUCCCUCUCUGCAGACUCCGAAGAUACACCGUGCAAACUGUGGGCUUCUCUGUUUUUUUCGCGCUCACGUUCCCUGGUGAAAGCGUGCGGAACCGCCGUCUCGGCGCUGUCCGGUGAAGGCGGAGUCUCGCCGUCUCCCUUUGUGUGUUCUUUCGGCUGCGCAUGCUGUCCGUCUUGGGCAAAGAUAAUCUCCGCACGCCCUCGCUCUUCGGCCUCGAGCUGUUCUUCUUCUCUCGCCAGUUCACAGCGCUUCGGAUCAGGCGAAAACGAGACGCCUGCGGACCCAGCGUAGCCGGCGCCGUUUGCGAGUCCAACUCCCCCGGACGAGCGCGACGAAGGCGACGGGGAGACCGAACAGUCACGGGCGUUGGAAUUAAAAUGCUUCUUUGCAUUUCUCUGGAGAACCCUGCUGAAAGUCGGCAACGUCUCUAUGGCACGCCGGUUGAACUCGUAGCGAGAAAAGAGCAGGUCGGGCUGCGAGGCACGAAGGAACAAAAGACGGGAACUAAAGAGAAAUGGAGACGACCCUGACAUCUGUCCCUGAAUUCUGUAUGUGGGAAAGGGACUGGCCAAGGACACGUAGUCCGCUAAAAUGGAGAGGCGUCAGAAGAAAGAAGCGGAGGAAGGCGAGGGGACGUGGGCACAUGUGGUGACAAGACACCAAGAGCAUGCCUUAUGAAAUCCAGUCGCUUGUGGCUCAUAAAUAUAUAUAUAUAUAUAUAUAUAUGGAUAAAUUUGUAGUUUUUCUUGUGUGUCAAUUUCCAUUUGUAUAACUGUUAAUGUGUUUGCAUCCGCUUCACGGCUUGUCGUGGCAGUCUUGGCACGUUCCUCUCCGACAUUAUGAACGUAUGCAUGUCCACGUGUACGAAUGGGUGGAUUACAAAAGUGUGAGCAAAGAAUGCUACAGGGCCAGAAAGAAAAACAGGUUGAUACAGCAAAUCAUCCAGCGAGAGGCAUUCAAGCGAACAUCGGUAGGCAAACAUAAGGGCGGCCGACCGUCACUUGCUAGAUACAACUACGGAACUG